rnacentral:rRNA from 1 species
CCUACGGGAGGCUGCAGUGGGGAAUAUUGGACAAUGGGGGGAACCCUGAUCCAGCCAUGCCGCGUGUGUGAAGAAGGCCCUCGGGUUGUAAAGCACUUUCAGUGAGGAAGAACGCCUGGUGGUUAAUACCCAUCAGGAAAGACAUCACUCACAGAAGAAGCACCGGCUAACUCCGUGCCAGCAGCCGCGGUAAUACGGAGGGUGCGAGCGUUAAUCGGAAUUACUGGGCGUAAAGCGCGCGUAGGUGGCUUGACAAGCCGGUUGUGAAAGCCCCGGGCUCAACCUGGGAACGGCAUCCGGAACUGUCAAGCUAGAGUGCAGGAGAGGAAGGUAGAAUUCCCGGUGUAGCGGUGAAAUGCGUAGAGAUCGGGAGGAAUACCAGUGGCGAAGGCGGCCUUCUGGACUGACACUGACACUGAGGUGCGAAAGCGUGGGUAGCAAACAGGAUUAGAUACCCCGGUAGUC